CAUGCACUAGUGGGGUCCCUCGGCCUGGCCUGUGCCCUCUCGCAAUCCAGGACCCCUCGGGGGAUGUCAGAGAGCUGGUUUCAGCCCGAUCCUGCAGGCCAGGCCGAGGGACCCCACUGAUGCACG
rnacentral:pre_miRNA from 1 species